AUGCAAGUCGAGCGGACAGAUGGGAGCUUGCUCCCUGAUGUUAGCGGCGGACGGGUGAGUAACACGUGGGUAACCUGCCUGUAAGACUGGGAUAACUCCGGGAAACCGGGGCUAAUACCGGAUGGUUGUCUGAACCGCAUGGUUCAGACAUAAAAGGUGGCUUCGGCUACCACUUACAGAUGGACCCGCGGCGCAUUAGCUAGUUGGUGAGGUAACGGCUCACCAAGGCGACGAUGCGUAGCCGACCUGAGAGGGUGAUCGGCCACACUGGGACUGAGACACGGCCCAGACUCCUACGGGAGGCAGCAGUAGGGAAUCUUCCGCAAUGGACGAAAGUCUGACGGAGCAACGCCGCGUGAGUGAUGAAGGUUUUCGGAUCGUAAAGCUCUGUUGUUAGGGAAGAACAAGUGCCGUUCAAAUAGGGCGGCACCUUGACGGUACCUAACCAGAAAGCCACGGCUAACUACGUGCCAGCAGCCGCGGUAAUACGUAGGUGGCAAGCGUUGUCCGGAAUUAUUGGG
rnacentral:rRNA from 1 species